UAAAAAGUAGUUAAUAGUUUAACAUUAAGUUGCAAACUUAAAAGUGCUUUACAGCCUUUUUAU
rnacentral:tRNA from 1 species